CCUACGGGAGGCAGCAGUGGGGAAUAUUGGGCAAUGGGCGCAAGCCUGACCCAGCAACGCCGCGUGAAGGAAGAAGGCUUUCGGGUUGUAAACUUCUUUUCUCAGGGACGAAGAAAGUGACGGUACCUGAGGAAUAAGCCACGGCUAACUACGUGCCAGCAGCCGCGGUAAUACGUAGGUGGCAAGCGUUAUCCGGAUUUACUGGGUGUAAAGGGCGUGUAGGCGGGGAAGCAAGUCAGAUGUGAAAAGCACGGGCGCAACCUGUGGCCUGCAUUUGAAACUGUUUUUCUUGAGUGCUGGAGAGGCAGACGGAAUUCCUAGUGUAGCGGUGAAAUGCGUAGAUAUUAGGAAGAACACCAGUGGCGAAGGCAGUCUGCUGGACAGCAACUGACGCUGAGGCGCGAAAGCGUGGGGAGCAAACAGGAUUAGAUACCCGUGUAGUC
rnacentral:rRNA from 1 species